rnacentral:tRNA from 1 species
UAUUAAAGUGGCAGAAAAAUGUAAGGAAUUUAAGCUUCCUUUAUGAAAUAGUUAUUCCUUUAAUA